UUUCUACAGUAGCGCAGAACGGACAAACGAAACACUGGCUCUUUCACGAUUAUGUUACCUGAAAGCCACCGUAGUUUUCUGACUUGCUUUUAAAGGGAGGGAUGAG